rnacentral:rRNA from 1 species
CUACGGGAGGCAGCAGUGAGGAAUAUUGGACAAUGGGAGCAAUCCUGAUCCAGCCAUGCCGCGUGCAGGAAGACUGCCCUAUGGGUUGUAAACUGCUUUUAUACAGGAAGAAAAAGCCCGACGUGUCGGGUGUUGACGGUACUGUAAGAAUAAGGAUCGGCUAACUCCGUGCCAGCAGCCGCGGUAAUACGGAGGAUCCAAGCGUUAUCCGGAAUCAUUGGGUUUAAAGGGUCCGUAGGCGGGACAAUAAGUCAGUGGUGAAAGUCUGCAGCUCAACUGUAGAAUUGCCAUUGAUACUGUUGUUCUUGAGUGCUUGUGAAGUGGUUAGAAUGAGUAGUGUAGCGGUGAAAUGCAUAGAUAUUACUCAGAAUACCGAUUGCGAAGGCAGAUCACUAACAAUUCACUGACGCUGAUGGACGAAAGCGUAGGUAGCGAACAGGAUUAGAUACCCUGGUAGUCUACGCCGUAAACGAUGGUUACUAGCUGUUCGGAUCAAUUGAGAUCUGAGUGGCUAAGCGAAAGUG